rnacentral:lncRNA from 1 species
GCACGUCGCCCGCGAGGGGGGUGGCGGGCCCAGGAGGAGGGGACCCCGACAGCCCCUCACCGCCUGCCGGGGCGGGCCGCCACGCUGGACGGGGGCAGCGCGGGGCGGGGUCGGGGGGCGGCAGAAGGCGCCUUUGUGCGUCGCGUCCCCGAGCGUGUCGCGGCGGGCCCGGCACCGGCCCCGCUCCAGCGCCCGCCCCCGGCCCGCGCCCCGGGCCCCGCGCGCAUACCUGGCGAGGCCACGAGGGGAUUCUGCGGGCCGAGCCCCGCCUGGGCUGCGCCGCCGCAGGCGGGAGAGGCUGAGGAUUCUUUUGGGAAGCCCCUCCGCCGGCUGUAACCCCAGGGCCGUGCCACCCUCCUGAUCACCGCAAGCAUGGACCCCCCAGCACGCUGCGGGUGGGACAGGCAGGGCCCCUGUGGGGUGGCUUGACUGGCCUGGAGUUGGGGACGAAGUCCCCGGGCUUGGUCCCCCGAGGGCUUGGUUGGGCGUCCCGGGGUAGGUGGCUGCCGCGGCGAUGUGGGCGGCUUGCGUGUGGCCGAUCGGGGUCGCUGCUGAGCCCCGGAGAGCGGAGGGUCCAGGCUAGGCUGGGGGAGCGAGAGGCGAGGGCGGAGCCGCGGAGGUGUGGGCGGCUUUCGUGGUCCGAGAGGCCCCAGGUUCCCGGCAGGGCGGGGAAGGCUGGGGCGGGGCCAGAGCCGGAGCCGCGAAGCCGCGAUGGAGAGGGCCUGGAGGGUGCGCCAGGAGCCGGCGUCAGGGCCUGCCUCCAUCUCCUCCAACCCCCACCCCAUUUAUUCCUGUAACAAAUCCCUACCGGGAGCUGGCACAGCAGCUGUGCGCUGGGGACACACGAGAUGCUCACCCUCCCUGCCCUCCAGGAGCUUGGACUCAGCUGAGCUGUUGUCCACACCAAGGGUGGCCUACAGAGGGAAGUGAGGACCUUGGGACUUCCUCCAGGACAGCCCUCGCUGUCCAAAUCUCCACCUGCUGCAGAGCUGCCUCCAGUCAAGCCCUUGUUUCCAGCUUUCUGUGCCCUAAAUAAACUUCUGCUGGGAUUGAGCCAUCAGCAUUCUGUGGUGGGCGUCGCUGCUGCGAGGUUGCCCUCGUGCACACAAGCUCCUCACAGGACUUCCAGGAUGAUAUGGAAGAGUGACUGAGAGCAGCCGCCCGGUGCUUCCCAACCUUAGAGGGAGGUCACGGGCAGUCUCCCUGCGAUGCUGGCCACAGGGUCUCGCUGUGUCGCCCAGGCUGGAGGGCAGUGGUGUGAUCUGGACUCACUGCAGCCUCGACCUGUUGGGCUCAAGUGAUCCUCUCACGUCAGCCUCCAAGUAGCCAAGACCACAGGCAGGCGUCACCAUGCCCAGCCCCCAUGAUGACUUUACUUUUCUUCUUGAACCUGGUGAAUUUCUGUGUUAACAUGUCUGAUUUGAACCCUUCUGAUAUUCCUGAGAUAAACUUUAUGUGACCUUGGUAUUCUGUUGGAUUUUGGUUAGCUGAUACUUCAAGAUUUUUAUAAAACUGGGUUGCAAUUUAUUUGUGUUCCCGUUUCUAGCUGUCUAUGAGCUUCAUCAAAUGGGCAGGACCACUUUCCCUUAACUUCUCCUUUUCUGGAACAACGGACAUAUCCUGUGGAUUAUCUGUUCCCCACAGGUUUGGGAUAUGGGUGCUGUGAAUGCCACUGUGCUGGGGGCUUUGGGAAGUGUGUGUUUGUUUUCGUGCGUGUGCGGUGGGAUACAGGUGUGGUUACUACUUUGAUUUCUUUCUUUCUUUUUUUUUUUUUUUUUUUUGAGAUGGAGUCUCACUCUGUUGCCCAGGCUGAAGUGCAAUGGCGCGAUCAUGACUCACUGCAACCUCCGCCUCCUGGGUUCAAGCGACUCUCCUGCCUCAGCCUCCAGAGUUGCUGGGAUUACAGGCACCCACAACCAUACCCUAAAUUUUGUACUUUUAGUAAAGAUGGGGUUUCACCAUUUGGCCAGGCUUGUCUUGAACUCCCAAUUACCAAUUUCUUAUGUGUCCUUUUGAAGACUUUCUAAGUACGACCAACCUAGUAAAAGUCCUGGAAGUUAAAUGCUCUAUUUCCCAGCCUCCCUUGCAGCUAGGAGCAGUCAUGUGACUCCAUUCUGGCCAACGAGAUACAAGAAACACUUGCUGACAGGUGCAAUCAGAAAGCGUUUGCUUUUCCAGUAACAUGUAGGACCAGUCACCUUUUUGCAUUUCCCCUUUCUUCUUGAUUCGAACAUUGCAUUGCCGUCAUGUUUGGAGAUGAGUCAGCCAUCUUGCAAAUAGGAGGCAGCAAGACUGAGGGAAAUGCCAUCCUGCUUCAGAGGGCAGAAUGGAAAGAGAAGCCUAAGAUGGCAAUGGUACGGUUGGGCAGCUGAGUCAGGACUGGGGCCACUGCCUCUCGGUUUCAAGGGAGAAAAAUAAACCCCUGUUUGUUGGCCUCAUGCUAGGUUGGAUUUUCUUUUACUUAAAGCCAAGACAUUUCUAACAUACAAAACCAGACACAUGUGCAUGCCACACGUACAUCACAAGUGAUCACAUGCUGUCCGACUAGCACCUCGAUUUUUCCACUGAACCAUCAGUCUUGCAGAUCAUCCUUUAUCAGUGCCUGGCAACUUGUCUUGCCCUUGUUUUCUUGGGUUUUUGUUUUUGUUUUUGUUUAAGACAAGGUCUCAUCUGUUGCCCAGGCUGGAGUGCAUUGGCACAAUCAUAGCUCACUACAGCCUGGACCUUCUGGGCUCAGCAGUCCUCCGUCCUCAGCCUCCCGAGUAGCUGGUACUAAAGGCAUGUGCCACCAUGCCCGG